AGAAUCAACGCUGGCGGCGUGCCUAACACAUGCAAGUCGAACGAGAAAGUGGGGCAAUCCAUGAGUAAAGUGGCGCACGGGUGAGUAACACGUGACUAACCUACCCUUGAGUGGGGAAUAACUUCGGGAAACCGAGGCUAAUACCGCAUAACACCUACGGGUCAAAGGAGCAAUUCGCUUAAGGAGGGGGUCGCGGCAGAUUAGUUAGUUGGCGGGGUAAUGGCCCACCAAGACGGUGAUCUGUA
rnacentral:rRNA from 1 species